rnacentral:misc_RNA from 1 species
AGCUUUCGAGAGGCGAAGCACAAAUGCCAUCUGUCUAUUUGGGGUAGUCGCGAAAAUGUCAGUCGAUCAAUCGUCUACCGGCAAAAAAAUUGAUUCUGUUGUUCUCUUUUGGAAACACGAGAAUUCGUCACGUGAUUAAGAUAGUACGAUUACAGGAAUUAAGAAUUAAGGCAUAUUAUUCAUUAUAGUUUUCGAACAGAUAAAUGAAAAAAUGAGUGACGUUAGACUCUUGAUACAGGAGGAAGGACGAACCGCUCGCAAUUUAGUGGUUUUCAAUGUCCCAGUUGGUACUAAUAAUGUAGAAAGAAUAACACGAAAACCACCGAGUAUACCAAGAGUAGCAAGAAUCGCCUCAAUCAAAAGGUCAAUGAAAAAUUCAUCCAGAGUGCGAUCAGCUUCAACAGGACGUGACAAAAAAUCUGAACUGCAAGCUCGUUAUUGGGCUUUUCUGUUUGGGAAUUUGGAGCGUGCGGUUGAUGGUAUUUACCAAACUUGCGAGGAAGACGAAAACAUAUCCGAGUGCAAGGAAGUGAUUUUGGUCCUUGAGAACUAUACUCGGGAUUUUCAUAAUUUGAUAGAGUGGUUCAAGGUUAAAUGGGCGUACGAGAGUUCGCCUCCUCCAUUGAGACGUACCCCACUCGCCUGGGAGGUCCGUAAGACUUCGCCUUGCAGAGCUUGGAAUUCUUCUGUCGUACCAAAAUGUACGAGUCCUGGGCAACUUUCCAGUCCAACGGGUAUUUCUGGUUCAUGUCCUUUGGAACUGCCGACAAUCGAAAAUGCACUAUUGAACAACGAGCGUAAUUCUAGCGCGUUGCAAGAAUCUGCUCACGAGAAAACAAUGGACAAUCGAGCAAACAGCGCGAGAACGACUCAACGUGACAAUAACGCCAAGGAAACCGAAAGCGAUCGUGGAGGCAGAGAUAAAACAGCUGUUCAACAAAAACCAAUCGUUAAAUCAUCUGCGAAGAAUCAGAUAAGAGAAACGAAGAACUUUUCGACGUUGUCGAGGUACAAUAGACCCUCGAAAGGUGUUGUUUCAUCAGGAACAGCUGUGGAAUCAGUAAACAACGACCGAGAGAAUGUAAACUCGAAGAAAGAAGACUCAGGCCCAAGAAUAAUUGGCAAAAGCACUAGAGCCGUGUCGGAUUUGGAAACGCUGAAAAACAAAAUAAACGACAAGGAUUCGGAUAGGAGAGAAACGAAUAAUCGUGUCUUGAAUGAUAAAAAAUUGAACGAGAACGGCACAACGAAUUCUGGAAUAACGAAAGUUACGACGAACAGAAUAGGCAAUUGUACGGAAAAGAAAACUAGUGUGAAAUCGAGCCGUCCCGCAUAUUCGACAGUAUCCAGAGUUUGUUACUCGACCGGAUCGUUGUCACAGGAAACACCGAAAAUAUUGAGAAGCAAAACUACUCUUGGUCUUCGGGAAACUCAUUCGACUGGAAAACCUACGCGUUCCGGUACGUUUUCGAAUAUAAGACGUCGGUUGGAUCUUUUUCCAAGCUUGAAUGCAAAGAAAAUCAAGAGCACCACGGAGACAACGAAUGAGACGAAAAACAGUACGGAAAUAAUGGAUAAAAAAAUACCAAAAAACAGCACUUCCGAGGACGGUUGGCAAACCGUUCGCAGUCGCUGGAGACGCGGGAGCACUCACAAUUUAAAUAUGGCAAUGCGUUUCAACAAGCCCAGCACUGCUACGUCUCUUCCAGCUCUUUCUAUCGAAAGUCCUUGUGAAAAAAUAAAAAAUACAGCGUCUUUCACCCCGGAAUUUUGCGACCGUACAAGCGAACAAUGCAUCACCCAAAAAGCUGGCAAGAAUCGUAACAAUGAAGUCGAGAAAGUACAGGGCGAGAGACAAAUGAGAAGGUCACCAAAGAACGAGGCUAAAAGAAAGUCUAGAAAUUCUGUGCCAAAUUCCCUCAAUGAUACCAAUUCGACUUCCGUCAUUGCCGCUGUUUUUAAAAACGAGGCUGAACUGCUGGAAAAAAGGAUUCAACAAUUUAUGGCCGCGCAAGCGGAGAGGGAACGAAUUAUUUUAGAAGAAGAGAGAAAAACUGAAGAAGCCGAUUCACAAAGAUCGCAACAGUUGUCCGACGAGGAAGCUUUCUUACAGAGACAAAUAUUAGAAUUGGAAUCUACGGAAAUCGAUAUCGACACUGAAACCGACGAAACGGACGGUGAAACCGUCAUUGAGAUCGACGAUUCUGAAUCUGUUCAACAACUCACUGACAACGAUGAUAUCAGUCUCGAAGAUCGGUACGAAAACAUGCUCGAAGGGAUGUCCUCAUCCGAAAGAAUGGACACGCUAGCUCAGCUGCAAGAUCUAGUGGCCCGGCAUCCGGGUCGUGCACUGGAGCUCCAUCAAAAGCUAUCGUCGCCUUCGAGGAAGCGAUCACUGGCUGAAACUUUGCGUCGUUAUCAAGCCAAGCAGGCUUGUGCCCAGCACAAGCGUCAAACUUUAUUAUCCAAAAAGUCGCAAAGGCUUCGAGAAUUGCUGAAUAAAGUCGAAGACGUGAAGAGCGCGAAGAAUCAAUUGAUCGAAGACAAGCGCGUACGGAUGGAGCUGAAGUUGAAGAGAGCCGAAGAAAAUCGCACUCAGCACUUGUUGGAAAUCGUUAGAAAAGCUCAUGACGAAGAUUCGAAAUUGAAAGAAAUCGCUUUUAUAAAUGAACUCGAAGCGCAAAACAAAAGGCACGAUUUUAUGGCACUUUGCCAAGAACAAGAAGAACGUCUUCAGGGAAUUCAAGAAGAACGUCAGCGGCGACAGGAGGAAAAAGCUGCAAAAGAAGCAGCUGCUGAGGAACGUCGUCGGGCUAUUGAAGCUGAUAGACAAUUGAGAAUUCAAAAAAUGCGACAGGCGCGACGAGAACGCGAAGAAAGAGUCGGCAAGAUGCAAUUAGAGAGAGAAAAAGAACGUCAGGAAUUGGCUCGAGAAAAAGCUCGCGAUCGGGAAGAACGAUUGUCGGCUCUGCAUGCAGCACAGCUCGCGAAUCAGGAAGAAUUGCAGAAGAAAAUAGCCCAGAAACAGCAAGAAUCGGCUCGACGUCACGGCGAGAAUAUUGAGCAUAUACGUCAACGGGCUGUUGAAUCUUCCAUCCUGCGGUCCGAGGAAGUUCCACCCAGUCUCAAAUCGUACCCCGCGCAAAAACAGUGCACGCUUUGCGGCACUCAGAUCCCAAACGAAGUUUGUUUGCUGAGCCACCUGAAAAGGAAAACCCAUCUCGAAGCGGUAAAAAAGAUGCACGACGGUCGUGAGCCGUCCCGUGACGAGCUGCAGCGUUUCAACAUAGCUCAAAUCAGGGACGUUUCAUCACCGCAGAAUUCAAAUGUAAACGGCGUUGGAACGAACGACGAGACAAAAGUCGCGCGGGAGAAACAAAAGGCGUUGAAGAGGCGAAGUAGAAAAUUGAAACAACGAAUGUCAGCCAGGGGACAAGAAUGGGAAACGCAAAAUUCUACUUCCAAUCAAGUCCCUAUCGAAUCACCCAACAAAGCCAAAUUUCGACAGUAUUUGAAAGAACUCGAAAGAUUAAUUUCUAAUCACGCCAAAACGGUCUGGCCCAGCGUCGCUGUUGCCAGACUCGAUCGCUGCUUGGGCGAACUCUCGAGAACUUUCCUCAAAGCGGUUCCCGUGGAUCAGGAAGCCUUCAGAACGUUGAACGGACUUGACACGUUGUUCAGUCUAAUAAACUUGGGACUCAACGUGCAAAACACUUCUCAAAACUUGCCGAAUAAGAGCCUCGUUUUAGUCUGUCGAGUUUACAAGGCUGCAAUCAACGGUCAUAAUGCCAACAUCGAGAACACUUUGUUGAGCAACAAAAUCGUUGGUAUUUUGGAUCUUCUUCUCCAGCGUUUCGAAUCUGUAACCGCACUGGACGAUCACUCCCAAGCGAUGGAAACCUCUACAAAUCUCAGCGUUAAUUCAGCUGUUACGAGCGCGACGAUUCAAUUGCUUUGCAGCCUCAUACCUGAAGUGCCUUUCGAGAAGCAGUCUCUUCAGUCCCGGCUUCACGAUAUCGUUGGAUAUCUCGUAACCGGUGGCCUGAUCGACAGAAUAUCUCGUCACAGUCGGGCCCUCAUAGAGACCGAUUUCUUCCUGGAUCAAGAUCGCGAGUCCCCAGUCUUAUUGGCCUCGUACGAUCUCUUGGGUCGCAUCCUUUCUCACCUCAAACGUCAUGCAAGCGAAAAUGGAUCAAGCCCCGUUUGUAACGGAGAAACGGCUUCCGUCGUGACGGAACAAACGACAACGGCAGAAUAUCACUUCCUUCACAACCUCGAAACGACCGAAGCGGCUGGAGCAGUCGGCGCGCUUUACGCCACUUUUGCACUCACAUCCCACAACCAAAAAUGCACAUCCCCGACACCCAAUCAAUCUGCUAGUUCGUUAUUUGCGAAAAAUCUGGCCCUGACCAUCCUCAGGUUACUGCGGACCAUCGGCGAACUCGACCUCCGAACGUUGCAGAAUUUACUCGGCUCCGAGGGCACCAGCCUUCAAUGGCGACUCAUCGCGAGUCACCUCAUAACCAGAUUCUCCCGGGACCCGCUCGUCGAAAAAACCGAUAUUUCCAACAACGCCGGACAACAGCCGGCCACUUCGACACAAAUUCUCGGCGAACUUCUCAUCGUACUCGGUCACUUCGCUGCUAACAAUCCCGACAAUCAGUCGGUUCUCCAGUCAGCCGGAGUGGGAGCCAGUGUUCUUCAGCAACUGUGCACUCUACCAUUUCCGUUUUACGUCGAUCCUCGUUUGUCAUCGUUGACUCUACCAACGCUGCUCGUAGCCACGCAUCGAAAUCCCGAAGCGACGGCAGCACUUUCGUGCGAGUUGUCCUAUCAGCUGCUAGAGGACUAUCGAGUCUCGAACGAGGGCAAACAGCACCCCCUGAUCCGCUUACUGAAGGAUGCACCCAGCCCAUGACAUCUGGGACACCGUGCAAUGGACGAACACGAUUAGUUCAUUAUUUUCAUCUCCCUGUGUCUCCAUUUUCCCCAUCGUACUCUUCUUCUCUCUCUCUUUCUCUUUCCCUGUUUCUCUUUCUCUCACGUCGUUCCUUCUCUUGUUCUCCUUUUGGUACACGCAAACGAACGAGCACAGGGGCACGAGCUGCACUCAAAUGAGAUGAAAAGCUUUCAGCGGUUUACGUUGAGCUCGACGAGUUAACAAUGACUCGGUACCGAUUGUAAAUCGAUCCUGGCAACGUGCACGAUAUCCUCCAAGGCGCACUUGAUGUGACUUAAAUUGAUCGAGGAACAAUCGACAGUCGUGUAAACGUUGAAUCGAAUUGCCAGCACGUGCAAUUACUUAAUACGAGUAAAAACGAGGCGGGACGAGUCAUCAUGGAAAUUGAAUCCAAGAAACUUGCUGAACUCGCCGUCGAAAUGGAUGUAAUUCCCUCGCACACUAACUCGAUCAACGCUCACACUUAGCCACAAUUUAUUUGUACAUUCGAGAAAGUAGUACUCUUACAAUUUCAAUAGAGAAUAUUCAGUAUUGCACGAUCGAUUGAAAGCGACAGAAUUAUUUCAGUGGAAACGAAACGGACGUGUCGAGGGUCCGGAACCCUUCGACAAUGCGCGCGAGGCUGAUUAUCGAGAUUUCAUCGAUUCACACGCGAAUAGAUUUAAUUUAAUUGUGAUUUUCGAUUACCCGAGAGUGUUUGACAACUCGAGGUACCACGUUGGCUCACAGGCUAAUCGAUUUUCUAGAAUCAUUCUACUACGACCCGUCGAAUCGCUCGUUUCGAUGUUAAGUACCGCGGACAUUUUCGCCACAGAGAAUAGUCCACGGGCGAUUCACGUUUUCUUUGUUUAACAAGCAUCAUUUUUGUUUAUUCGCCAAACGACAAUGUUUUAAUUCCGAAUUAUGAAACGGGUUUUUAAUUUUUACUUUAAUUUCCUCAUAGCGGCAUGAAAUGUUUGUUUUUGAUUUUCGCAAAGUAUAUAUAUUUUUUUUCUUCUUUUAGAAACGCGAAUUUAACGGAUUUCGAAUUUAAUAGACAUUUAUUUAAUAUUUAUAUUUAAGUAGGUGCAUGAAAAAGCUGGCUCUGCGACCACGAAACGAUAAAAUUGUAGGAAAAAGUUUCUCAGCAAUAUCACCAACGUUUUAUCAUAUUUUUUUCCAUUGUAUUUUCGUUAACCUGAGUUUCGAAUUGUUCGCGGCGUCCAAGUGUACUUUGUGCAAUGUCCUGCCAAUGCAAUAAUCAUAGUGAAGUAGGUGUAAUUGAAGAAUCAUCUCGUUUUUAAAAAUCGAACGAUGAAAAUUACGAAUAAAUCUAUGAAGUGAAGGAAAAUUUGAAAAAAAAAAAAAAAACAUUUAAAUAGUGUAAUAACGUAUACGAAUGAUUGGAAAAUUGCUCUUUCUCGUCAUCGACGAUUAAUCGAAUCACGAUAUCGUCGAUGAUAAGUAUUGUUAGCAACAUUGUAAGCGAGGAUAAUAAUGAUAAAAUUGUAUUUUUCUAUCGUAGCUCGUAGGCGAUCGAGCAUAAAUUAUCGAUAAGUACACUAAACACGUAUUCGUGUAAGAAUUUUGAAUGUAUUCUCUCUCGAAGAAGAAGAAGAAGAAGAAAGAGAAAAACAACACUGUGCACGUCGAUCAGUUCAAGACGUUCGCUUUUCUUGUAACUCACGAAAAUCGUUCACGUUGUUCGUCGUAUGGCCGAUCGAGCCACCGGAAUUUCAGACAAAAUUUUUCACUCGGUUUCUCCGAAAAUACUACUUUGGCUUUGUAUACAGAAUUCAGUCAGAUUGCGUGCGAGCAUCAAAGACUUAAAAGAAAUAUUAUAUUUAGCCCGUUAUCUUAUAUGCCUCUGGUAAAAAUAUUUUUAAGAGAAUGCAAGAGAAAGCUAGUCAGGGAAAACAACAACAAAUAAAUGUGCUUUUCCGCUCUGCGUAAA